rnacentral:miRNA from 1 species
AACUGCAGCGAUGGUGUAAGAAGAGAGAGAGAGAGAGAGAGAGAGAGAUGGACGACCGCGCUGCAGAAGACACUCACUGCUUUUUGCAGGCGCAGCAGGCAGAUCAGGGCUGAUAUUACAAGAGACAAGGUCAAGACGACGGAUUAUCUUUCCCAGGACAUGCCAGGGUACUUCUUCUUUUACGUUAUAUGAUAUUUACUCUCUUCUGCUUCACUA